AUGGCGUCCGACCGGCCGCGACCGGUCCUCCGGCCAACCGUCGCCAUCUACCUCCGGCGCGCCAACGCGCGUGCACCCCGCCGGAUCCGAUUAGCUCCGCUGCGCCAGAUCCAAGGAGUUCCGCGUCGGAUCCGCCAGUCCACGCAAUCCCCACGGGGUACCGUGCGUGAGCAACCUCACCUCCUCGGCAGGAGAGGAAAACCCUCUUUUUUAAUCCAAAAAAUCCCGGACGAGGGUAUCUCGGUGUUGUGGCACGAGGCCGACGCUCCAGCGGCCCUGCUCCGCGGCGCGCUCAACCUCCACACCGGCACCGGCCGUGGUGGCGUCGAGCUGAGCAUCGGCACGCCAUACAUGAUCAUGCGUCCCGACGUGUUCCGAGAAGGGAAGAAUCCGACGGCCACGGUGAAGUGGGUGGUGCCGGUGCCUAAGCCGUUUGAGCUGUGCUACAAGGGAGGGUUCCCGAUGCUGAAGCGGACGGUGGGGCACGACGUGCGGCGCAUCAACCUGGUGCUGGGCGACGGUGCCACGGGGAACUGGACGUUGUUCGACGACAGCUACAUGGUACCGGUGGACGGGGCGAUGUGGCCUGGCGAUCCAGCCGAUGGGGCCCGGCGGCAUGCCGAUGGAUGGCGAGCCGGCGGUGGUGAUCAACGGGAAGCAGCUGGAGAACAACCUGCUGGUGUUCGACCCGGAGAAACAGGUGCUCGGGUUCAGCAUGCUGCUCGACUCGUGCUUGUCCAGUUGCACAAACUUCAGUUUCUUCGCAAACUAAAGAGUCAAUUAUGUUGGUGGUGUUAG
rnacentral:rRNA from 1 species